CGUCGGGGACGCCCAGGCCACCGGCCUGAUGAGGGAAGCAGGGGCAGAGCGCUCAGGCCAGGGCCGGCGGGGGCACUGCGCACUGGCCGCCUCCCUCCUCUGGCCAAUCCUCCUGCCGCUGCGCGUCUAGUCCACCUCGUCCCUCUCUGCAGUCUUCCUGCCUGAGCCCUUCCAACUUCAGGAGGCAGAGGUCGGUGUCAUGGACAACACUGUCUGCGGAUCCUUUUUCCAGCCCCAGUACCCCGGCCAGCCAAGCAGCAGUGACUACACCAUCCACGAGGACAUGCUGUGCGCUGGGGACCUCAUAACAGGAAAGGCCAUUUGCCGAGCAUGUUCCUACGUGAAGCAUGGAGUUACGCAAUGGCCUGCCUGUCCAUGAAGUUCCUCUGGCCUCCUCCGAUUCUGUGGCUGCAAAUCCACACCUAGGAGCUCCGCAGGCCUGCUGGAGCACAGCGCCUGUAGGUUUCUGCGCCUGGAACCCACCUCAGGACCACAAGCCGCAUUCAGUCUCUUUUUAUAGAUCUGGAACCCGAAGCCCAGCGUGGUUAGGAACUUGUCUAAGGUCACUUGGUAGUAAAUACUGGAACAGGGAUUCAAACCCACAUCUCCAGAGAGAGCUCAGAAGCCUUGUGCUUUCCAUGAGUGCAGCUGUUUCCAGAGGCCUCCGGCCCUGUCUCACCUUCCCAGACUGCCUUGAGAGGCUCUAGCUGGCCUGUCUCUAGUGUGGCCAGAUUCUAUCUGGUCAGUGGCAAGGGAGGACCCCAGGCCACAAUACUGACAUCAGGGAACAGAACAGAUCUGCAGGGCCAGUGAGUGGUGCUACGGAAAGGCUGGGAGUGGCCCCUGCGUGGUUUUCCCUAGACCCAUCGUCAGGGGCUCCAGGCCUCCAUGUGUUGUGCUGCACGGGCUACUGGCUCCCUCUCCAAAAUCGACCCUGGGUGAGCUGUGGAGGCGAGAAGGCAGUGUGCAUUUCAGAAACUAACCAAAAUCAGUGAGAAAAUCUUGGAGAAACUGAAGUUACCCUGGGCGGCUGUAGCUGGGAAUGGAGGAUGGGGCAGCCAGGAGCCAGACUUAAGAAGGCUGUUCACACUCUGCUCUUGUUGCUUGCCUCCCACACCUCGUGACAAAUGCUGCCUGGUCCCGCUCAGGUGUCAGGAUUGCAAGGUGGCUGUGUCAGCCAGUGUGAGGGCCCCACAAGCCACCGGUGUUGUGUGCCCUCCAUCCUCCUCCUGAACCCCCCCUGGGUGGGACAGUUGCUAUCCAGGGAAAUGGGCCUCUUCCACUGUGAUCUCCUCCAGGGCUUUCACCGGCAGGCCCGCCUGCAGGAGUGGCUUGUGGGGUGGCAGGAUGCAGGAGAGAGUGAGUGAGGUGCUUCGUGCCUGGGGCCCUCUGCUCUGGGGCCACCCUCCUCGUUGACUCACUGGGAGCCUUGCUAGUGCAGACAGGGUGACCAGGAGCUGCUAAGCCCAGGGAAUGCACACACGUGCACUGGAGCAGCUGCCUAUCUUAAGAGUCCAAUGCCCACCGAAACACAGUAGGCUGCACAGCAUCCACUACUGGAAGUAGAGUUGCUGGAAAAGACAGACCAAACAUAUUUAAUAAGCACAAUAAAUAUCUUUUUGGAUACAGAAAAAUAUUAUUAGUAAUAAGACCUAAGACAAAGAAACUACCGAAAAGAACCAAGUCAAAAUAUUACAUAUGCAAAAUGUAAUCGUUGAAUUAAAGACCACAUUACAUUGAGCAAACAGGGUCAAUGCAGAUGAAAGAGGAAGCCAGUCGUUACUUUAAAGGUAUGGCUGUCACAGUGUGGACUUUGGAGCCCGUCCACUUUAGUUGGGGUAAUUUGUAGAGCAUUUAUUUACAAAAGUACUAAUCACCCAGGUAUGUUUGGGCUGAAGGCUCCGGGAAAGCCCAGGGCAGGGGCCUGGCACAGGCAUCAGAAGCAGAGCUCUUGCCACCCAAGGCCCUGAGGGACCAGUGAAGUAGGAGCCGUGGGGAGAGGGUGCCUGAGAGGAGCAGGGACACUCAGCCGAGGGACACAGCCAGCCAAGGCGGCCUCACAAAGAGGAUUUUCAUGGAAACAAAUGCCCUGACUACUUCAUUCCCACAUCUUCGGCUGAGGCUCCCAUGGCAAGUGGAGAGAGCAGCUGCAGGUGGCCUCGGUCACUUGGGUCAGCUCUCCUGCUUAAAACAAACACAGAAAUCAAUAAAAGUGUUGAUUGUAUUAUU
rnacentral:lncRNA from 1 species